rnacentral:lncRNA from 1 species
CAAUCUCCGCCCCACUAAUAAUAACAUUAUAGUCACUGGUUUAGCACAUGUUUGCUUUACCACCCUCUAGUUUACUUAUUCUAAAUUUUUUUUACUUCAAAAUAUUUUUCUGUAACUUCUUAAACCACAUAGUAGAAUGAUAGAAAUAUAGUUAACUAUAGAAGGGAUCAGCGUGAUAUACAUAUUUGAUGUAGAGAAUAAUGGAUAGUUUAGCAAUCUACCUUCCUCCACACAUCACUUGAUAUCUUUAUUGUUUUAAA